rnacentral:lncRNA from 1 species
UUGCGAAUUUUAUUGCAAAAAAAUAGAAAAGAAAAAAAUGCGUAAAAAACCCUUGAAAGCAAAGGAAGCAGACUAAAGGUCGGGCGUCGUUAAAACCUCAAGAAGAGGAAAAAUUGUACGUGUAAGAAAAGUAAAUAACAACACAAAUUAAAGAAACAUAAGCAAUAAUGAGUUCGGACUAACCAUCACAUGAAGCUUACCAUCGCCAAAAAACCUGACUACAACAAAGGCAAAACUCAAACCAGCGCUUCGGAGUAACCAUCACCCUGAUUUUGGCUUUACUAAGAUUGCAGUGACGAGCAAAAAAUAAGGCGAGGAACCCCCUCGACCCUAGAGCUCAGCUUACCGAGACUUAGAAAAAAGGUUAGAGGGGCAACCCGCAGGAGAGCUGCAACAAGCACGAACUCAGCCCAACCGACCCUAGCACUUAGCGCACCAAGACGCUAAAAAAAGGUCCGUGCACAAAACCACCAAUAAUAAAUAAAUAAAUAAAUAAAGGCAAGCAACUAAUACAACAAGACGAAGUUGCCCAACUUCCAAAGACAAGCAAAGUGACGAGCCAAAAGAGUAAAUUCGCAAACCUCGAAGAUCAAAAUAGGAGAAUCUCGCUCCCCAAAGCAAGAACCCCAAGCAAAACCUAUGGUAACGUCCCCAGAAGAGAAAUCUACCACACGACAGUAAGCAACCAAAGAUGCCCGCUACCUAUUCAACCAAAAUCCAGACCCAAAGCUCGCUAUCAUUCAAGGAAAAUGGCGCUGACCUGCAUCUCGAAACAAGGAGGGGCAAUAUCAGAAUGCAAGAAGCUCCAGACCAAAUCGUCCCACUGGACAAGAUGGAGAAGAAAGAACCACGAAUUAGCAACAGAGCCGAAUCCGCCAGGAGAAAGAAGAAAUGUGAUCCGCUUAGAACCAUCAAGAAUUACACCACUUUACGAAUAUGACUGUGAGUCGAAAUAUCCAUGCGAACGGCAGUUUUUAUAACAUCAAUUUCACGAGCCCACCAGCCCUCUUGCAUAUUAUUGUUUUCCAUGAUAUCUGCAGCUUUAUUUCCUUUGCAAAAAAUAUGGCUAACUUGAAGAUGAAAAUCAGAAAGCAGAUUAAGGGUGUUUUUUCAAGAAACGAUGAACCUCCAUAGGACCAUGGGAGACCUAGAGGUCAACAAACGGACAAUAUAUGCGGACUCUGACUCAAUCCACAAGUGAAGCCAUCCUUGAGCAUGGGUAAUUAAUGAUGGUGAGAAGCUCGACUUCAAAAGAAAAGCCAAUCCCUCCUUUAAAGUGAAAGCAUCUCCUAACCCAACACCACUUGUCACGAAAGACGCCACCCGCAACAAUUUUACCUAGGGUACCCGAUUAAUAAGUCACAAUUAAAAAUUUAUUAGAAGCUAAAGCAAAAUUAUACAUUCUAGUACGACCAGAAACUUGCCAAAUUUAUAUACUUUUGACUUAACUAAUUUAAUCUAGUUAAAAUCUAUGCAGACAAAAGUAAAACAUAUCCUUCCUAUUCUUGCAUGUACUGUAAAACUUCAUCUCAUAUGGUAAAAAACAAUGAUUAGAUUCAAUUGAGGGAGCUCACGAAAAAAAAUAAAAUAAUAAUAAUAAUAAUAAUAAUAAUAAUAAUAAUAAUAAUAAUAAUAAUAAUAAUAAUAAUAAUAAUAAUAAUAAUAAUAAUAAUAAAAAUUUACGAAUUAGAGAAAGUUUUGUCACUCCCAAUUAUAAAGAAAUCAAUCACAUAAGAAGAUCAAUCAUCUUCGCCUUGUAAAACCACAACUUAGGGAUUUUAAAAUUUUAUAAAUAAAAUACCAAUUCAUAUACUCCCUCUAUCCUCUAAGAGAAUAUCACAUAUGAGAUGAUACAAAUUUUAAGAAAAAAUUGGUAGAUAAUGUGUUAAGUGAAAAUGAACGACUAUGAUUGAAUUAAUUGUAGGGUUAUGUAGAAAUGAGUAAUUACAGUUAAAAAGAUAAAGAUGGACAUGUGCAAAAUACUCAACAAAUACGACUUUUCAUACGCUGAAUCAAAAUUUGUAAACCAAAAUAAUAAAUAAAAUUAAGAUCAUACCAAAACUCUUCCUUUCUCAAAAACAACUUUGUAGUCUAUCGAACCUUGAAAAGUAGAGAGAUAUACCUGAGAGUUUCUGCUUGGUGUAGAAAGAAGAUGAAGAAAAAUAGUGGAGUACAAAAAGAUGGAGAAUGAGAUUGUUUAGACGAUCAGAUUGUGAAACUGUUUGCGCAAGUCUUCAGAAAAGAAGAAGAAUAGUGAAACCGUUUUCCACAGGAUUUCCUUGGUAGAAACCAUUAAUUUUUAUAAAGAUUUUUU